AUUGAACGCUGGCGGCAGGCCUAGCACAUGCAAGUCGAACGGUAACAGGAAGAAGCUUGCUUCUUUGCUGACGAGUGGCGGACGGGUGAGUAAUGUCUGGGAAACUGCCUGAUGGAGGGGGAUAACUACUGGAAACGGUAGCUAAUACCGCAUAACGUCGCAAGACCAAAAAGGGGGACCUUCGGGCCUCUUGCCAUCGGAUGUGCCCAGAUGGGAUUAGCUAGUAGGUGGGGUAACGGCUCACCUAGGCGACGAGCCCUAGCUGGUCUGAGAGGAUGACCAGCCACACUGGAACUGAGACACGGUCCAGACUCCUACGGGAGGCAGCAGUGGGGAAUAUUGCACAAAGGGCGCAAGCCUGAUGCAGCCAUGCCGCGUGUAUGAAGAAGGCCUUCGGGUUGUAAAGUACUUUCAGCGGGGAGGAAGGGAGUAAAGUUAAUACCUUUGCUCAUUGACGUUACCCGCAGAAGAAGCACCGGCUAACUCCGUG
rnacentral:rRNA from 1 species